GCGUAUCUGGGACAGUGAGGAGCUGCUGGAGGGGUACAAGAGGGAGAAAAUCGACCCCACCCCCUACUACUGGUACACUGACCAGAGGAAGUACGGAACAUGUCCUCACGGCGGCUACGGCCUGGGUCUGGAGCGUUUCCUCACCUGGCUGCUGAACAGACAUCACAUCAGAGACGUCUGCCUGUACCCACGCUUCAUCCAGCGCUGCAGGCCCUGAACACGCACGCACGCACGCACACACACGUUCUCUUGGCAUGGGAGACAUUAAAUGUGUAGCUACAAUAUCAAAUCCAAUCAUACUGUUUUAUCCCUUGGCUCUUUUUCUGUUUUUCUAUCAAACUACGUCCACAGUUAGAGAUGCCGCCUGCUUUGCUCCACCUCACAGCUUUUUUCUGAUUUGUUCUGACGUGAAACCUGAAUGGGCUAAUUUCUCCCUCUGAUCAUGUUCGACUUGGUGGAUAAUUAACAAGAAUAAGCACUUAAGUUUCCUGUGAUUGUGUUAAAAAAUGUCUCAAUCGAGUUUUCUUUAAAUGCAAUGCGCUUCAGUCGAAAAAUAUGCAUCAACUGUUGAAUGUCAGGAAUUGUUGAAGACCUUGAGAUGUUCAGAAAUAAAUGACCUCGGAGAAGUUCUUCAGUGGCUGAAAUAUG